rnacentral:rRNA from 1 species
UACGUAGGGGGCAAGCGUUAAUCGGAAUUACUGGGCGGAAAGCGUGCGCAGGCGGUUCGGAAAAAGAGGUGUGAAAUCCCAGGGCUUAACCUUGGAACUGCACCUCUAACUACCGGGCUAGAGUACGUCAAAGGGGGGUAGAAUUCCACGUGUAGCAGUGAAAUGCGUAGAGAUGUGGAGGAAUACCGAUGGCGAAGGCAGCCCCCUGGGAUGAUACUGACGCUCAUGCACGAAAGCGUGGGGAGCAAACAGG